rnacentral:rRNA from 1 species
UACGGAGGGUGCAAGCGUUUAAUCGGAAUUACUGGGCGUAAAGCGCACGUAGGUGGUUUGCUAAGUCAGCUGUGAAAUCCCCGGGCUCAACCUGGGCACUGCAGUUGAAACUGGUAAGCUAGAGUAGGGUAGAGGGGUGUGGAAUUCCAGGUGUAGCGGUGAAAUGCGUAGAUAUCUGGAGGAACAUCAGUGGCGAAGGCGACACCCUGGACUCAUACUGACGACUGAAGGUGCGGAAAGCGUGGGGGAGCAAACAGG